UGAGCAACCUGCCCUUGACUCUGGAAUAACAGUUGGAAACAGCUGCUAAUACCGGAUACGACCUCCGACGGCAUCAUCUGGAGGUGGAAAGCUCCGACGGUCAAGGAUGGGCUCGCGGCCUAUCAGCUUUGUUGGUGAGGUAACGGCUCACCAAGGCUUCGGACGGGUAGCCGGCCUGAGGAGGGCGACCGGCCACACGUGGGACUGAGAUACGGCCCACGACUCCGUACGGGAGCA
rnacentral:rRNA from 1 species